ACCAAGCAGGCCUCCUCCCGAGUCCCGACUCGGCGUCCUCCCUUCGCGACUCAACGGCCGGGCGCCAACCCGGCGAUCUUCCUCCGCCGUCGCAGCCGCUCUGACCUACGCAGCACUUCCAUCUGGAUCUCCUCGGCGUCGGCUCCAUAUUCACAGCUCUAGUUUUCCCAACCGGCAAUCGUGGAAGGAGAAAUCACGGUGAACAGUGUGAAGCUUCAAGGUGGCACUUGCGUUUAUUCGGCUUAGGGUGCAGCUUGGUGAGCCUUGAGUCAAUUGGAAGCCUCUCUGAAUCGAGUUGAUCACACAACAUCAAGUUGAUGCAUUCUGCUUUACUGUGUUCUUCAAUAAGGCUACUGCAAUUUGGGAUUUCCUAAGUGAUCUUGCUAUAAUUUUGAUCGAAUAGGCGAAGGAGUGUUGUACAGUGGCAAGAAUCAGGAAAACCAAAUUAAGGCAAUACAGAAGGCUUAUCAGACCUUGUGGUAAACAUGAUCAUGUGCCUACUUCCUUUCAAACUGGCUGCCCAGACCAGCAUUAUAUGAAAGCAUAUGGUCUUCAGUUUUUGUGCUAAAUUUGAAGAGGAUGAUCAACAUCAACCAGGUCAUGAUAAGAGUAUUCCAGAAAAAAAGUUCAUGGCAUUCUCAGCAUUUUCAGCCCCAUAACCGGUUGCUCUAUCCUUCGCACACAAGUCCACAAUAUCAUCCCAAUUGACAAGUGUCUUGAAUCGAUACUUCGAAGUCUCAGGAUGUGUCUGUCAUGAAAAACAUGUGAAAACAAGAUAAUUCAACUUCAAAUUUAAAACAUGAAUUUUCAAAGUGAUAAUCAAUGUAGUUCAAUACAAAUAGCUUAUUAAAGUAACUUGAAAAAAAAAUGAGAUAUCAGAAACUUAGAAACAAGAUCAUACCUUUGCAUAUUCACUCCACACAUUGUUGUCAUCCACGGUUAUUAUCUUACGUCCACUAUCCCAAUUAAAAUCACUUUGGCUUAAGAUAUCAGAAACUACUCCACAUGUCCUUUUCCAACCUUUUAGGUGGUUUUUGACAUUAUCUUUCAUCACAUGUAUGUUAUAUAUGGUUGACAUCUUCAAUACUGCCGAAGUGAAUGCUUCAGAUUUCCACCCACCAUCACCUUUGUGGCUUUGUUGUCUCUCACUUUUAAGAAUAUCGGCCAAUCUACUAUCCAUUUCCGGAUUCCAUUGCAAGUAUUUGCCUCCAUCAUCUUCUUUUUUCAUACAUUUUUGCUUCUUAUCCUUUUCUUUUUUAGCUUCCAUUCUUAGAUUACUGUUGA